GUUGCCAAGAAGGGGCCUGUACCUAGCAGAGGUAUUUGUGUAAUCAAAGCUUCUGGAACUUUCCCUGCCAAGGCUACCAAUGUGAAUAGGCUCCUGAGGUAAAAAUGUUCCCCCUGCUGGGGACGGCGCCCUUGAAGUCUACAUCAAAAUCAAGCCAGGGUCACAGCUGUUGAGGCACCCCACAGUGGAAAACUUGCAAGAAAUCCUAGCCUGUACUACUGUUUUGCCUCAGGUCUAGAGGAAACAGGCCGCUGUUGCAAGGGAGCAAAAAGAGGGGGGAAUGAGAGAGAGGGAGAGAGAGAGAAGGGAGAGGGAAAGAAUCUGCUUUCCAAAAGGCAACACUUCUAACUGGUACUUUGGGGUGGAAAGACAAAGCCACUCCGGAACCUUGCCCCCUUCACCAAGGCAACCUCACCCCAGUCACGUUCACUCAUUCCCCCUGUGAGUUGGGGGGUCGCAGGUUGGCUGAGAGCCACUAGGUGGCAGCAGAUUAACUCUUCAAAUGCCAGAACGGGUGCUUAGCAGUCAGGAAUUGGGUCUGAAAACUUGGCAUCUGGUCACUUCCCUCAAAGGAAAGGAAAAACAAAUGGCUUUUUCUGUACUUUCGGAUCCUUGGCUUGUUGCAUCGAUAUUGGAGGAAAUGCUAUGAAAGGAAGAUUGCUUCCUGGUCACCCAUUCAUAGGGUGGCUUGGGGCUGGGUGAAAUGCAAUUGUGUAUGCACCGGGUUUCAUGACUUGAAGGACACUUGGUUCACAACUGUUUCAAGAGACUAAAAGAUCCUUUGAGAAAUUCAUGUUCACAUUCAAUUCACUUCAACGAAUACUAAAUACAAUGAGAAAUGAGUGCAUUCCAUUUUCUAGGGUUAUUUCCCCAGCUGAUGGCCAGGGCCCCCACCCUUGAGGAUCGUGGGGGGAAGACAGGAUCUAAAUGAAGAGUGUUCUUCUUGGUCAUCCACCUUGGACGGGCAGCCCCAGCAUUUAAAUUUUGCUCUGCAAUUUCACCGAAAGGACAGGAAGGAUCACAGUCAGGCAACUCUCGGAUCCUCAAGUGAUUUCUGGAUAGGUAUAUCAUGUCGUUUCUUUGAAUCCUCGCUGUGCUUAUGCUGGGUACAUGGGAAGGCUAAGACGUGUUUGAUGGGAUUGGGGUUCACAGUGGUUCACUCACCUAGCUUCUCACGUGGGGCAAGGACUGUUAUGUCUUUGAGUUAGUUUAAAUGAGUUAGGACCUAGGACCCUGAUCAUGCUCCCAUCUUUUCCCUCCGCUGAUUUCUCCUUAUCUCUACC
rnacentral:lncRNA from 12 species